CCUACGGGAGGCAGCAGUGGGGAAUAUUGGACAAUGGGACGAAAGUCUGAUCCAGCAAUGCCGCGUGAGUGAUGAAGGCCUUAGGGUUGUAAAGCUCUUUUACCAGGGAUGAUAAUGACAGUACCUGGAGAAUAAGCUCCGGCUAACUCCGUGCCAGCAGCCGCGGUAAUACGGAGGGAGCUAGCGUUGUUCGGAAUUACUGGGCGUAAAGCGCACGUAGGCGGUUAUUCAAGUCAGAGGUGAAAGCCCGGGGCUCAACCCCGGAACUGCCUUUGAAACUAGAUAGCUAGAAUCCUGGAGAGGUGAGUGGAAUUCCGAGUGUAGAGGUGAAAUCGUAGAUAUUCGGAAGAACACCAGUGGCGAAGGCGGCUCACUGGACAGGUAUGACGCUGAGGUGCGAAAGCGUGGGAGCAAACAGGAUUAGAUACCCUGGUAGUCCACGCCGUAAACGAUGAUAACAGCUGUCGGGCACANGGUGCCUUGGGUGCGCAAGUCUAACGCAUUAAGGUUAUCCGCUGGGAAUACGUCGCAAGAUUAAAACNAAAGAUUAGACGCNGAGAGAGCGAGACGACGACGAGGAGAG
rnacentral:rRNA from 1 species